CCUACGGGAGGCAGCAGUGGGGAAUAUUGCGCAAUGGGCGAAAGCCUGACGCAGCGACGCAGCGUGAGGGAUGAAGGCCUUCGGGUUGUAAACCUCUUUCAGCGGGGACGAAGCGAAAGUGACGGUACCCGCAGAAGAAGCACCGGCUAACUACGUGCCAGCAGCCGCGGUAAUACGUAGGGUGCAAGCAUUGUCCGGAUUUAUUGGGCGUAAAGAGCUCGUAGGCGGCUUGUCACGUCGGGUGUGAAAACUUGGGGCUCAACCCCAAGCCUGCACUCGGUACGGGCUAGCUAGAGUGUUGCAGGGGAGACUGGAAUUCCUGGUGUAGCGGUGAAAUGCGCAGAUAUCAGGAGGAACACCGGUGGCGAAGGCGGGUCUCUGGGCAACUACUGACGCUGAGGAGCGAAAGCGUGGGGAGCGAACAGGAUUAGAUACCCUGGUAGUCCACGCCGUAAACGGUGGGCGCUAGGUGUGGGGAACCUUCCACGUUCUCUGUGCCGCNGCUACGCAUAGCGCCCGCCGUCGGGAGGUACGGCCGCCGACGGACGUAAACCGUACGAACGUAAGUAAGUUAGUUACGGCGUGAGACGUCGCCGACGGCGACGACGAGGGAGGAGG
rnacentral:rRNA from 1 species